GAGGGUAUAGCUCAGUGGUAGAGUGCAAGCUUAGCAUCUACGAGGUCCUGGGUUUAAUCCCCAGUACCUUCA
rnacentral:tRNA from 1 species